CGUUGAAACACCAGUUCUCUUACGAUUACCGAAGUUAAGCAACGUCGAACCCGGUCAGUACCUAGAUGGUUGACCGUUUGGGAAUGCCACGUGGUGU